AGCAUUAUUCAUCAUUAUGAUAUGUAUGGGUGUGCAAGAAAUAAGUGUGGGGGUGUCUGGAUUUGUGGUAUGGCUAUGACUGGUGAAAUGAAACAUAUUUUCAUUCUCAAAUCGUGAGUUCCAUAGUUGCUAAAAAAAAAAAAAGAGAGAAAAAGUAAUGGAGGAAAUCAUUUUUAAUGUACAAACUGUUUAUGUUCAUAAUUCCUCCUACAAUUCGAAAAAAAAAUAAAGGGAUCUGUUUAUAUGUGAUAUAUACAAAGGUGGAAGUUGUUGUGAAAGAUCGUUCCCUGCUGCAAACGAAAAGUGUUCCUUUUGAACGAUCUUUUUUUCAAUACAGAAGUUUCACAUGGUUUAAAUGCUUUGAAGCCAAAUUGAAGAAGCUGCUGAAUGGAGUGAUUGGUUUUACAUGUCAUAUAUGCUAGCUUGAGUUGAUUCAUUUUUGCUCCACUAGUUUUGAU
rnacentral:lncRNA from 1 species